ACAGUCACUCAUUCAAGUCAUAAUCUCUCUGUUAUUAAACAAGUGAACCACGCUGAGUAGGAAGUCCAUGGAGGACUAAUUAAAAUGUCUGCCAUGACAUGACUAGCAUCGGGCUGCUACUGGGUGUGUCUGCAGCCAAGCUGAGAAACAUGGACGUGUCAAUCACCCACCUGCAGAGCAUCCACAUCCCUGCACUGCUCCACUGAGCUGGACAUACCGCACAACGUGCAGGUGUCGGCCGUGUUGGUCAUCGGCCUGGUCUUCCAGGACACGGGCCACCGCCACAACGCAGAGGUGUGCUCGCUGAGAUCGGACAAUGACCCAACACACCUCCAGGCUGUGUAAGGGCUAUUUGACCAAGAAGGAGAGUGAUGGAGUGCUGCAUCAGAGGACCUGGCCUCCACAACCACCCGACCUCAACCCAGUUCAGAUGGUUACUACGUGAAUCCGUUUGUGUUAUUUCAAAGUUUAUUCUAUAAUGUAGAAAAUAGUCAAAAAUAAAGAAAAACACUUGAAUGAGUAGGUGUUCUAAAACUUUUGACCGGUAGUGUACAUUGUGAUAUUGUUGUAUAGUGGUUUUAAACAUUUUGUGUUGUAAAUAUGUAGUGGUGUAAUGAUGUACUGUUUUGCAGGAAGUUAUCAACUGUACUGCUGUUUAUGUAGAGCGGCGAUAAAAAGAAACAUGGAAACCACUCUUCAUACUUCAAAAGGCUGAUAAAUAAAUAGUGUGCGUACAAAAUGUAUCACUAGCCUUCCCUCAGGACUCAUCUAAAAUACCAUAUUGUAUGCUUUAUGCAUGGCAGUAACCUAAUACAGUUGAAGUCUGAAGUUUACACCUCAGCCAAAUACAUUUAAAUUCAGUUUUUCACAAUUCCUGACAUUUAAUCCGAGUAAAAAUUCCUUGUCUUAAGUCAGUGAGGAUCACCACUUUAUUUUAAGAAUGUGAAAUGUCAUAAUAAUAUUAAAGCAAAUUAUUUAUUUCAGCUUUUUUUUCUUUCAUCACAUUCCCAGUGGGUCAGAAGUUUACAUACACUCAAUUAGUAUUUGGCAGCAUUGCCUUUAAAUUGUUUAAUUUAUGUCAAAUGUUUCAGGUAGCCUUCCACAAGCUUCCCACAGUAAGUUGGGUGAAUUUUGACCUAUUCCUCCUGACAGAGCUAGUGUAACUGAGUCAAGUUUGUAGGCCUCCAUGCUCGCACACACUUUUUCAGUUCUGCCCACAGAUUUUUUAUAGGAUUGAAGUCUGGGCUUUAUGAUGGCCACUCCAAUACCUUGACUUUGUUGUCCUUAAGCCAUUUUGCCACAACUUUGGAAGUAUGGUUGGGGUCAUUGUCCAUUUGGAAGACCCAUUUGUGACCAAGAUUUAACUUCCUGACUGAUGUCUUGAGAUGUUGCUUCAAUAUAUCCACAUCAUUUUCCUGCCUCAUGAUGCCAUCUAUUUUGUGAAGUGCGCCAGUCCCUCCUGCAGCAAAGCACCCCCACAACAUGAUGCUGCCACCCCUGUGCUUCACGGUUGGGAUGGUGUUCUUCGGCUUGCAAGCCUCCCCCUUUUUCCUCCAAACAUAACGAUGGUCAUUAUGGCCAAACAGUUCUAUUUUUGUUUUAUCAGACCAGAGGACAUUUCUCCAAGAAGUACGAUCUUUGUCCCCACGUGCAGUUGCAAUCCGUAGUCCGGCUUUUUUAUGGCGUUUUUGGAACCGUCUCAUCUUCCUUGCGGAACGGCCUUUCAGGUUAGGUCGAUAUAGGACUUGUUUUACUGUGGAUAUAGAUACUCUUGUACCUGUUUCCUCCAGCAUCUUCACAAGGUCAUUUGCUGUUGUUAUGGGAUUGAUUAGCACUUUUCGCACCAAUGUACGUUCAUCUCUAGGAGACAGAAAGCGUCUCGUUCCUGAGCGGUUUUACGACUGCGUGGUCCCAUGGUGUUUAUACUUGUGUACUAUUGUUUGGAAAAAUUACUUGUCAUGCACAAAGUAGAUAUCCUAACCGACUUGCCAAAAGUAUAGUUUGUUAACAAGAAAUGUGUGGUGUGGUUGAAAAACGAGUUUUAAUGACUCCAACGUAAGUGUAUGUAAACUUCCGACUUCAACUGUAGGUAUGACUGACCUGAAUGUACCUGAGUAGCUCUACAUGGUGGUAGGGCAUCGAGGCACCCACACCAGUAUCAACAGAGAAAAACACAAGUCCUCCAGCUACCAGAUCAUGGAGAAGUACAAGAAGCAACCAGCAAGACAACUUUCCUUCCUUGUAGGCCUACUUUCUGUCAGUUGAUCCCCAUCUAACAUAUUAACAUUUUUCCUGAAGGCACAAAACCAUGGUCUAACAGAAUACUAUGACCAGAGACUUAAGAAUGUCCCAAGUGUGGGGGUUUCUGGUCAUCCAUGUGGACGUCACCUGUCCAAGAGCGACCCUGGCUAUGAUCUACCUGAAGACCAACAACAGGUCUAUCGCAGGUUGGCUGAAAGCUCCAGACACCAUGUUCCUCCUGGACUGCACUCUGGGUCAGUACAGACCUGCCUUAUCUCAGUGUACUCUGGGUCAGUACAGACCUGCCUUAUCUCAGUGUACUCUGGGUCAGUACAGAUCUGCGUUAUCUCAGUAUACUCUGGGUCAGUACAGACCUGUCUUUUUCACUGAGCCAAACCCCCGGAGCUCACCGUCAGUGGUUCCCAACCUAGGUGGGGGGUGCCACAUUUUCCUUGGGGGUUGCGGGAUUUGCAACAUUUCUGGGAUCUUUUAUUUCAGCUCAUGAAACAUGGGACCAACGCUUUACAUGUUACGUUAAUAUUUUUGUUCAGUAAAAUGGCUGAUCCUGUACACUAACACAUUUUAGGUCGUCACUAGCUUCUAAACCCACAGUCAUAAACCCCGCCCAUUUCUAGAAUUUCUCUUCUUAAAAUUUUAUUUUAAACCUGAUCUUAACCACACUGCUAACCUUAUGCCUAACCUUAACUUCAGACCUGAAAGCACAUUUUUGUUGCCAAUUUUGACUUUGUGGCUGUGGAAUCUGACUUUGUGGCUGUGGAAUCUGACUUUGUGGCUGUGGAAUCUGACUUUGUGGAUAUAGAAGCUUGGCACUGUCUCCUCUCCCUCCUCAGACACUGGCUAGGUGUAUCAGCAUGUGGGAUGAGAUACUGCCCAACUCGAAAGCAGCAAUGUGCCUCCGGCAAGCCCAUGACCACAUAAUUGCUGGAACCUGUAUGACUGUGGGAUUCCACUUCGCUGGCUCGGCCAACUCUGACGCAUUCAACUACUUGUAAAGUUUCGCAAGGAACUUCAUGCAGUGUUUGACAUCAGCAACGACUACAGGCCACUAUAACUUACAGAUGUGUCUGAGCAUGUUGUUGUCCAUGGUGAUGGCUGGCUCUGGUGACCUGAAGGUGCUGGAGCUCUGCCGCGUCCUCCAGAAGAGGACCAGAACUAUGACCCACCACAUGGCCCUGGGAGGAGGCAGGUACACUCCAACUCGGCCAUCGCUACCUUGCCAUGUGUGCUCUACCACCAGUUUCCUGCCCACAGCACAGUUAACCGAUUCAAGUAAAAGGACCAUUGAUACUGGAAGCUGUCCAUAGACCUGAAGUAAAGGAACUCCACAUCUUGAAGGGACGAGAGAGCAUGAGAAUACAGGUUCUGGCCAGUCAGGUCCAUUCUGUCCAGAGAUGGGGUUCUGUAUCUGAAGCUAGGGCCCUAUAAGGUCGACCUUCUGGAAGAAUCUAUUAUCCCCCGUCGUCGUCAACAGGAACUCAGAAGUCCGCACAUUCAAGGAAGUACAUUGUUCCCUGAGCUCCUGUUGAAGUUGUCAGCUGUGCAUCCCUGUACAAGCCUUGCUGCGCCUGGGCCCUCUCCUCAUGGGGACUGCAAGCUUCAGGACUGGACAACAGGCCUGUUGAAAUUACCUGACCUUUGACCACUAACCAUGGUCUCUUACUUUACCUUGGUCUUGACCCAGAAGGGUCCCUCUGCCUGCACUGCUUGUUGCAGCUCACAAGAAAUGGACCUGAUAUUAUAUUAAAUAUCAUUGUAAAAGCUUUCUUGAUACAGAUUGUAUGUCAAAUGUUUUACCGUACCUGUAUUCCAUAUAAAAUAAUGCAGUAAAUAAAAAGUGAUUUGAGA